rnacentral:rRNA from 1 species
UACAGAGGUCUCGAGCGUUGUUCGGAUUUACUGGGCGUAAAGGGCGCGUAGGCGGCGGAAUGUGUCGGAUGUGAAAUCUCCGGGCUCAACCCGGAAAGUGCGUCCGAAACUAUUCCGCUCGAGUGCGGGAUGGGGAAUCGGAAUAUAGGGUGUAGCGGUAAAAUGCGUUGAUAUCCUAUAGAACACCGGAGGCGAAGGCGGAUUCCUGGAACGCAACUGGCGCUGAGGCGCGAAAGUCGGGGGAGCAAAC